CCAAAGCAAAUACUACCCACUUUGCACAGGCUUGUUGGCUACCUAUUCCUGCAAGUGUUGGUUUGCUUCAGUAUCAGCUCUUGGCUCCUCCAACUGGGAACACUUCUGGUUCCUCUCCUUAGCUGCAGUUUGUUCAGGUUAAUUUGUAGAGUGAAUCAUUACAAUUCAGAAGCGUAUUUCUUUAGUGGCUUUAAUGUGGCACUUGCAUUAUGCCUUUGAACAAACAAAAGUGUAAGUUAUUACACUUCUUGCACAGCUACACUUUAAAAGACUGCUUUAUGAGGAAUAUUUCAAAGGAUCACAGCCAAGUGCAUGCAAAGUCCCAUCAAAGCAAAUGGCAGUAAGAGCAAACAGGCGAGGCAACAGGUACCAGCCAAGGUCUUCUACAAUUGAUUUUUCAGGUCUGAAUUGGCAGCCUCAGACACACUUCCAGCCCCUCCGGGGGCUCAUUGGAGUUCUGCUGCUGUUUCCUCCAUCAGAGACAGUGUCCCUAGGACUUACUUAAGAUGGCAGCUGUUGGCACUGCUUCAGUACAGGCAGGAGUCUGCUUUACUGCCUGCUGUCUUAAUGACACUAUGCACAAUGCUACCAAGUGGGGUUAGAAAUAUGAUGUACAGGGACUGACUUUCUGGAAUGGCUUCCAUUUUGUCUGGCAUGUUUUUGCACUUGCAGAUAUGUGUUUCUGUGCCCAGGUUUCUGUGCGUCCAAGCUUCUGUAGUGCCUGUUAUGUGCAUACUGUAGAUCCAGACUUUCAAAUAACCCUGGGACUCCCUUCCAAAUGCUAUAUCACUGACUCUGCCUAUUGUGUACUUCUGGAUCAUACUCCACACUCUACAGUAGGUGUAGUUCUAGAAAAGGGGUCUAUUCAAAGCCUGCUUAAGUCGCUGGACGGAGUCUUUUCACUGACUUUAAUGAGCUUUAGAACCGGCUCUUACAGUGCUUUCAUUUUCAAAGGCAUUGAGCUAUUGUUGAGGUUCAAGGAAAGCAAAAUGCUCUUGCUAAUUCCUUGUUUUAGACUCAUGUUCCUUGUGCUGCAUACAUUCUUAAGCUGAAGGAAAGAACCAAUCAAGUCCUAUUCUUCUUGUCUCUGAAUAUCCACUACCACUGGGAAAUAGUCUAUGCUGUGUGGCUAAGAAAAAUUCAUUCAGAAGGCCAUUUCUUUCAAGGCCUUGCUAUGAUGUUCACUGUUAUUUUCAGUAUUGCCAUUCCAAAUCUUCAUAUCAGCCCUCAAAAUAAGCAGACAAGCAUAUUAGGCGUCUAAAAGUGUAUGUUCACGGCUGUUUUAAAUGACUGUGGAAACAUUUCUUAUGCAGAUGAUAAUAGUGAGUACAGCCAGAGAGGUUCCCUUUCAACUCAGGAAAACACAUUAGUGCAAAAUAUACAGUUGUGUUAGGUACUUGGUGCAUUAAGAUUUCACAGAAAGGAAAUCUAGAUCUUUCUAAGUUUGUGGGUUUAUUGUUGACAUGGUUAUAAAUGCACUGUAGAAACUAUUUACAAUUUAAUUCAAAGCGCUAGUCAUUCACUUUUUUUUGCAAAGCAAAUGCAUCUUAUUUAGUUGCCCAAAUUAGAGCUGCUUAAUGCUUAAAUGAGAAUGCUGUGAGCUUUUGAAGAUCUGUACCAAAGUAUAGAGUGCAAGAGGUGCCUAAUUUUGAAACACUGAUGUGAAUAGCAGGGCAUACAUGCGAGUAGAUAUACUGUGCACGUUGUCUGCCUGUUUGUGUUGAAUGUAUGACCCAGUUAGCUUCUUUCCCAGCCAUUUCAUAGAAUCAUAGACAAUUAGGGUGGGGAGGGACCUCAGGAGGUCAUUUAGUUCAACCCCUUGCUCAAAACUUAUUUAUUUAGCCCCAACUAAUUGUCCUACCCAAGUCUUUUUUAUAGCCAGGUCUUAAAAACCACCCAGGAUGCAGGGUCCACAACAUCUCUGGGUAGCCUGUUCUAGUGCUUUACUCCCCUCCUUGUGAAAGAGUUUUUCCUAAUAUCUAACCUCAAAUUCCCUUGUUGCAACUUGAAACCAUUGCUCCUUGUUCUGUCAUCUUCCACUGCUGAGAACAGUCCGGCUCCAUCCUCUUUGCAACCACCCUUCUGGGAGUUGAAGGCUGCUAUCAAAUCUCCUCUCACUCUGCCCUUCUCCAGAUGAAAUAAGACCAGUUCCCUGAGCCUCUCCCUAUAAGUGAUGUGCCCCAGCCCCCUAAAUCUUUUCAUUACCCUCUGUGGGGCUCUCUCCAGUUGUUCCAUAUCCUUUCUGUAGCCAGGGGAUGGGAGCAAAACUGGACACACUAUUCCAGAUGUGACCUCACCAGUUGUGAAUAGAGGGAAGAAUCACUUCCCUCAAUCUGCUGGCAGCACUUCUACCAAUGCAUCUGUGUGUGUCAUUAGCCUUCUUGGCAACAAAGGCACACUUUCUGGCUCAUAUUCAGCUUCUUGUCCAUUGUAACCCCCAGGUCCUUUUCUGCAGAGCUGCUGCCCAGCCAGUCAGUCCCCAACCUGUACCGGAGCAUGGGACUGUUCUGUCCUAAGUGCAGGACUUUGCACUUGUCCUUGUUGAACCUCAUGAGAUUUCUUUUGGUCCAAUCCUCCAGUUUGUUGAGGUCUCUCUUAAUCCUAGCCCUACCCUCCAGCGUAUCUACUGCUCCCCCCACCUUGGUGUCAUUUGUUGGUUGCCCCUAACAUACCAUUUGUACAUGAGGUUAUGAUUCCAUCUAUUUAAAGUAUAUGUGCAUAUAUUUGGUUGUAAGCCCUGUUCCUGAAAGUACAAAAGCAUAUGAAUAGCUUCGCUGGAGGCCGAUACCAGAGAUCACUUUUUUGGGAGCCAGUAUAAUCCAAUUUUAGCUACGUAGCUACACUUAAAAUAGUCAGAAACAGUUUUUCAUUGCUUUUAAGCCACUGAACAUGAGAAGCAACAGGGGUUAGGUAGGUCCUUGUACUGUAUACUUAGCAGUGAUAAAAUAGUUCACAUAUUCCAAAGCUGUUUUGGAGGAAAAAAAGGAAAGCUGUAUUUGGACAGUGUUAAUAAAAAUGAGCAGCUAAAAUAUAGAGAGGAGAAUAUAGACUGUAGGCUAAGGAGUGUGACACUUUCCUCUCAUCCAUUAUUUUCACUGGACCGGUGUUCUUUGGGGAAUAUGAAGAAUGAAGACCAAACCUGAGGGAAUGCAGGUGAUGAACUCAUCAGGGCUUGGUUCACUUUCGUGCAGAAGGCCAUGAUGAUAUGCCUUAGAAUAAGUAGCACUUUAUCAUGAUCCUUGCCUUUUUAUAUAGCACUUUUCCAUUUUACAAAAGGAGUCACAAUCUUUUUCUUUGUUAUGGCUGGGGAAACUGAAGCAGAGGGAAGUGAAAUAACUUGGCUCAGUUGACCCGGUGGGUCAGUAGCAGAGCUGAGAAUAUGCAUGAGGUCUCUGGAGUCCUGUAAUUUUUCCCUUAGAUUCUGUUACUUCUCUUAAGUGGUGCCUCCUUGAACUCUUGCCUGCCCACAGGGUAAAUUUCUUGUGCUAGUGAAUGUCUUAAACAAUACUAGAGAAACAAGGCAUUGAAGAUACUGUGCAUUUUCUUAUGCUUUUUGCGGUUCACUUCUGGGUCUGCCGCUGAGCACACUGGAGAGCCCCCCGUGCGCCUGUGAGAUGCCCCAUCCACCCCACCAGCUCAGCAUUCAUGAGUUGUGCCUGGGACCUCAAGUCUCUUUCAGGUGCUCCGCGGCUUCAGCGUGAACUAAGAGAUUCGUGUUCACGGAGAGGGUGGUUCAGGUGAUCAGUCUGAUCCGGCCUGCACUUGCGAUUCUUCCUUCGUUGUUCUGCAAGUAUAGUCACCUCCAAAUUGGAACAGAUGCUGAUUCUACACAAGAGGCCUCCCUUUGGACAAUUCUUGAUUUCAGAGAUUAGCAGAUCCCCAAAUACACCAAUUCAGUUCUCUUCCGCUUCUUCCAGAAGACCAUCUUCCUUUGAAUGCUGCUGCAGGAAAGUUUCUUCAAGGCCCACUGUGUCUGACAGGCAAGCAGAAACAGGCUGGGGAUUCCACAUGCUGACAGGACAGAACGUGGGCAACAAUGACCACAGAGCCCAAUCACCGAUGCCCAAAAAUGAAGAGUCAUCAGAGGGGGUAAAAGAUACCAAAAGAGGGGAUUUCAGAGCAGCAAAGGGUCCCUAGGAAGGGAACCUGAGGCCACCAUGGACAGAGGGCAUACCACCAGCCUGUCUUAUCCACCCCAUGGUGGGGGGUCCUCAGCUUCCAACCUCCGGGCUGCUGACAUCUCACAUUCAAGAGAGAACUUCAGAGUGAAACUUGUGUACUGGCCAGAUGCACCAUGACUCUGUGAACCCUGGGACUGGUAGAUACAGAGGUGUUUGCCUUAUUCUUAUCUGCUAUCACUGUGUAUCAAUACAAUUUGCCUAUUAUCAUAUGGUGAGGUUGUGGUCAGUCUGAGGGGUUGGGUGUGGCGGGCCAGUAGAUGGUGCUUCUGCACAGAGCCACCCACCUCACUGCUUCCAGGCUCCGAGUGCCUCCCUGGGGGCAGCCCACAUCUAGCCGACCCCCUUCCUGGAGCUGCCACCACCCAGGGUCUGGCAUGAUCCUGGCUCUGUCCCCUGGGAAACACAGGUCUAGUAGCCCUCGAGGGUACGUGACUCACUUCAAGAACUUGAGGUGCUCCCCUCAGUAUGAAGCACCAAUAGUGGUCUCCCUUAGGCAGCCGAACCGAGGCGGGGACCCCAAGGCCUAAUCUAGACCCACUCCCAGUAAGUCUCCUGUGCUAGGUACAAAGGAGAACUUUAUUGGUUACAAGAAGUAGGCUUGGAAUGGGGUACAGGGUUGAGCAGUAUCAGAGAAAUCCCUUAGAGCAAACAGGGGUAGCCUUUGAUCAUGCACCUGAGUUACUUGAAGCUAUAUAUCUAGUUAGAUCUCAGGUAGCUUACUCACGAACACCAUCCAGAGGCAGGUGGAGAGUCUCUCUGGAGGCAGGCUGCUCAUUGAUCAUGAGUUUCAAGACAGGAAGCAAGUUUCAGAUGGCCCAGCUCUUCUCUCUGAGUUUUUCUCGUGGCUACAACCCUCCUCCUGAGCAGUUCUUCACUUAUAUAGCCCUUAUGACUUCGUUUACCUGGUCCAAUGGAGGCCAGCACCUGUUGGCUGCCAGUGAACCCACUGGAAACACAUCACUGGUUGCCAGGCAACCUGGCAGGGUCUCUAGCCCCCUCCCGGUCAGGUUGGCAUUGCUUAGGAGAAUAGGGAGCGUAUGCCUCUCACCCGGGGAGGUGAUGUCACUUAGGCAGAGGGAGCAGGUUUCUUCCUUCCCUUAGGAAUGUCUCAAACUCAGGUUCCCUAAAGAGAUGGGAUGUCUGCCCUCUGCAGGCCCCAUGUUAACCACACUGUCGUAGAACAGAUUUUUGGGGGAGAGACAGGUGGCAUUCUGCCACACAAAGUAUCUAUCUGGGUCAUAAAUCCAGUCCCAACCCCUUCUUCUGCCAGAGAGCCUGUAGGUGAGGCUUGGUAAGUCAUGUAAGAAAAAAAAAACUCUAAUAAAUGAUCAUAGAAUUGUAGAUCCAAAAGAGACCUCAGCAGGUUAACCAGUCCCAACCCCCUGCCCGAAGUAGAAUUUGCCAUGAGUAAACCAACCCAGCUAAGUGUUUGUCUAACCUGGUCUUAAAAACUUCCAAGGAUAGAGAUUCAACAACUUCGCUGGUUAGCCUGUUCUGAUGCUUACCCACUUAAAUAGUAGGAAAGUCCCUCCUAAUAUGCAACCUAUUGACCCAAUAUGUGUGUUCUGUAUUUUGGGGGCACUCACUUUUAAAUGUCCCAGAUCAGAAUGACCAGAGCCCUUGCAAUGGAGAAUGGGAGCUCCAUUCUGAACAUAGCAUGUGCUGUAAAAUGAAUCAGGAGCUCAGAAAAAUCAAGCCCUAGACUUCUGAACAGGGAUGAGUGGCUUUUUUUUAGAUAAUUGUAUCUGUGGAUCUCUGCAUGUCUAGGAACUCCCUGUGUACGAUAGGGACACAAUUGGUCUGUUGGGAAGAGAAAUUCAUCAGUGUUUGUAAAACACUUAGACACUAUGAUGACAGCGCCAUGGAAAAUCCUAGUCAGUGACAGCAAAAACUGUCGGAUGGCAACUACUUUAGCCAUAAUUGUCUGUCCUAGGCAAAAAUUAAGCAAGAGGUCCUGUGAAAAAAAUGUGACCAUUUCAUUUCCAGCAACAUAUGUUAUUUACCACACAGUAUUUAAAACCUACACUGAAUAUAGAAUUAAUCAAAUGUACACAUUCAUUAGGACAAGUACAAUGCAAUGGCAUGUAAUGCCAGUUGCAGAAAUUGUGUGAAAAUUUUAAUAAGGAAAGUUGGUGUGAAGAAACUAUUAAAUACUGUGCAUUUUCACUUUUCUUCCUGUAUAUUAUCACAGGAAAAAUCCACAUUAGGGACUAAAUGGCCUGUAAAAUUGUAGUUGAGAUAAACUGAAUGUGAUGGAAAGACAAAGCUGAACAAUAGCGAGAAAUCCCCAACCAUAAAUAUUUAUGAGAUACUAUAAAUAUGUAUGAGGUACUAGUACCUGAUAUAUAUUUCUGUUUGGGGUUUUUUUGCUGCUGUUCAGAUUUUUGUUUCCAUCACGUACGUGUGUGUGUGUGUGUGUGUGUGUGUGUGUGUGUGUGUGUAUAUGUGUGUGUGUAUAUAUAUAUAUAUAUAGAUGUGUGUAUCCUAGCCAAUUGCCCAUCAAGAAUGACAGGACGGUGGCUGGGACGGAACGCUGCCUCCCACCGGCCCAUGCUGCUGCCACUCUGCAUCCAACUGCAUGCAAACCCUCCCCCCUUGCUCUGUGUUCAGCCCCAUGCACCCCCCCCCCCACAUGCCACACACACAAAUCUCACACACGCAGCCACACGCCACACACAUCCAGCCGCACACAUGAACGCACCCAGGCGUGUGCCACAUGCCACACAAAGCACCAUGUGCCGCGCACAAAGCCACGUGCCACACAGCAGCACACACCAUGCACCCAGCCACAUGCCAUGCACCCACCCACAUGCCACCCACACAGUGCCAAGUGCCACACACACGGCACCAUGUGCCACACACACGCACAGUGCCAUAUGCUGCAGCCACAUAGCCACACCCACACACAGUGCCCCACGCCACACACAGUGUCAGGUGCCACACACAUGUGCUUUGCUGCUUGGCCUGCCCAGCGCUGGAACUCACAUGGCGCCAUUCUGCACCGCUGUCAAAGUAGCAGCAAUGAGGCAGGGAGCAGAGGCUGCAGCCCACCCUUGCCCCAUGCACAGACUGGGGGGCCACAUGCCACCUCUUUGGUUUUCUGGAAGAGCUGCUGGGCUUUUAGUGUCCCAUGACCCAACCCAGCCAGGGUCCCAUUCACCAGGAACGGGGUCCUAGCUGGGCCGGGUCAUGGGGCAGUCAGAGCCCAGUGGCUCAUCCAGGGAUGUGGCAUGGGGGAGCGGCUGGACUUACCCAUCCACCCAUGGCCUGGAGGAGCCACUGGUCUCCUGUGGAACAGUCUCAGCGCAGCCUGCCCCCAUGCUGGGAUCAGCCCAGCCUAGCCUCAUUCCAAGCCCCCCCUGCCUUUCCCCCGGCAACGGCAGCACCACCCCCACUCCUCUUCCCUCUUCCCUCCUCUGCCCCCCUCCCCCUCCCUGCUGGCUGUUGUCAGUGUGCUGCGGCAUGGCAGCUCCCUGGUCCCCACCCACCUCUAUCUGCUGCACUGAGCAGCGAUGCAGAGUUGUGCCCGGGCCAGCCAAUUGCUGCCCGCCCUCUUGGCCGUGCAUGUGCAGCUGGCUCAGAGCAUUGUGGACAGACAGACUGACUAAGGCUGUUAUUAUAUUAGAAUAUAUAUUAUAUAGUACCUCAUGUAUAUUUAUGUUUGGGUUUUUCUGCUACUGUUCAGCUUUGUGUUUCCUUAAAUUCAAUUUAUCUCAACUAUAAUUUUACAGGACCAUUUACUCCCUAAUGUGGAUUUUUCCUGUGAUACUGAACGAGCAGCAAAGGGUGGGAGAAAAGUGUGUGUGUGUGUGCGCACUAGCUAAUUGCCUGUCAAGAAUGAUGGAUUUCAGGGAGUCUUUACGUGUGUCCCCCUUGCCCUCACUCACCCUUCGGGGCCAGCCAUGUAAAGACUCUCCCUCCACCAUCACCGCUGCCUCCAGUGCAGGGGCUCCCUCCCCCUGCCCACCUCCACCUCACAGCAGGGCUUCUCCCCUUUCCUCCCUCCCCACUGCUGCCACCUCCCUACUGGCUGUUGUCAGGACUGGGUGGCAGGGAGGGCACUGCCACCGUGAUCCCUCCUGCCCUCCCUGCUUCCCUCUCUCCCUUCCCUGCUACUCAGCCCCAAAAUCAGCUGCCCCCAUUACCCCCCUAUCACCUCCCCCCAUGCCUGUCCAGGCCCAUGCAGCUUCCCUCCCUGCUGCCUCCCGCUUCCUGCUGGCUGCUUUCUGGGUUCCCUUCCAGCUCCACUCCAUCCCCACUGCCCAGCCCUGACAACAGCAGUCCCCAUGGCCCCCUUUGCCUCCCCCCUACUGUGCUCCCCUCCCUUCCUCCCACUGCCUCCCCCUCUCUGCCAGCUGUUCUGGGGGCCACCACCACCAUGACCCCCCCCCCCUUCACCUUCAGGCAGGGAGACAUGGGGGAAGCCUCACUGCUCAGCUGGCUGGGGCAUGGUCACCACCACCACAAACUUCCCUGGUAGCGGCUCAAACUUGGGCCCAUGCAGCCCAGGCCUGUGCAGCCAAUCGCCGCUAGCCCGCCCUCUCGACAGCACAUGCACAAUUGGCCAAAAGCAUUACAGACAGACAGAUACGCAGACAGACAGGCUAAGCCAUUUAUUAUAUUAGAAUACACACACACACACACACACACACACACACACGAUAUAGAUAAAUAAAAGAUGGUGAGCUUUGGCUAUGACUAUAUAGAGGAGGGUUUGUUUGGUAGGGGGCGGGGUUCAGAUAUAUGUAUUAUAAUAUAACGCCACACACUUAAACCUUCCAUUUAGACAUUAAACCUGGCUUUCCCUUCAAACUGAUUUUUUUAAAAGGAGAGCCAAUGGACUCUGAGAAGAAUCCCAAUAUGAUGGAUUUCAGCUCUUCCUCUUAAAAAAUAUUGUUUUUCAAAUAUCCCAAUGUAGCAAACCCCCCCAGUUUUUGAUUGUUUGUUUUAUUGUUAAAAUGCAUUCCCUCCCCUUCCCCAACCGUUUCUGACUUUCUCUCUGCCCCCUCUAUCCCUUCUAAGUGAUUUUUAGUAGUACUAGGCAAGCUAAGCUAAGGUCUUCUAUACUAUUAUUGUAAUACGCCCCUUUUUAUAUAUUGUAAAUAGUGUUCUGUUAUGUUUGUAUUGAUUUUUAGUGUUUUAUAUUGUAUCAUAUUGUAUUCCUAUAAUUUGUGCGUUGGUUGUUAUUGUUUCAUAUUAAUAUUGUAUGGUCCAGGCCUGUGUCUGUGAAGUGAUGUCAAGUCUUGAUUCCCAUCUUGUCCCCAUACCCUGGUGUGUAAGUAUGUUGCACUUCUGUAACUUCUCCCAUGUAAAUUGGUUUUCCUUGAGUGCCUGAAACAAAAGAGUGAAUGGAUGAGUGAAACACAAUAAUAGCAGGACCCCCUCCUACAUCACCCCACCAUCAAAAUCAAUACCUGGACCAACGACCUAGCCCUUGGAACCACCCUCUGCAUUCAAGACACAAACGAUGAGGCAGCCACCAUUGUGCCAAGGCUGCACAUGCGCAGUAUGAACACCUGGAACCCUCUGGAACAGGACUGACCUUGCCUGGACAGGACCUCCCCAGAGGAGAUCAGAGGUAGUCUGCCCCAUAAAAAGGGGUAGUGAAGAUCCCUUUGGGAUGCCAUCUUCACCUGGACCAGACCUACUCCACGUUAUGCUGCCUAUCAACCCAGAGGCCCUGCCGGUGACCUCCUCUGGACAACACCUGCUGGAGAAAGACCCUGACUGGCCAUCGAGGACCCCCUCCCAGCCUGGAUAGGUAGCUAUCACCCCCACCUUCUCUUCAACCAAGGACUUGGACUAUGUUUCUCUUCCCUACCUGGACUCCAAUCCUUCCACUGAGUCUCUUUCUGCUGCUGCCAUUGUGUGAGUGUGUGUGGGAGUGCUUGCAUGAGUGUGCGGGAACCAAGCUGUACAGUACAGUGUUCAUUUAAUAAAACUGUUAUUUGGAGCCCUGA